GACGAACGCUGGCGGCAUGCCUUACACAUGCAAGUCGAACGGCAGCACGGGUGCUUGCACCUGGUGGCGAGUGGCGAACGGGUGAGUAAUAUAUCGGAACGUACCUUAUUGUGGGGGAUAACGCAGCGAAAGCUGUGCUAAUACCGCAUAAUCCCUAAGGGGGAAAGCGGGGGACCGUAAGGCCUCGCGCAAUUAGAGCGGCCGAUACCUGAUUAGCUAGUUGGUGAGGUAAAGGCUCACCAAGGCAACGAUCAGUAGCUGGUCUGAGAGGACGAUCAGCCACACUGGGACUGGGACACGGCCCAGACUCCUACGGGAGGCAGCAGUGGGGAAUUUUGGACAAUGGGGGCAACCCUGAUCCAGCAAUGCCGCGUGAGUGAAGAAGGCCUUCGGGUUGUAAAGCUCUUUUGUCAGGGAAGAAACAGCAGCUCUAAUACAGUAUGCGAAUGACGGUACCUGAAGAAUAAGCACCGGCUAACUACGUGCCAGCAGCCGCAGUAA
rnacentral:rRNA from 1 species